GGCCUGAGUACGCCUGAUCUCGUCUGAUCUCGGAAGCUAAGCAGGGUCGGGCCUGGUUAGUACUUGGAUGGGAGACUUCCUGGGAAUACCAGGUGAUGUAAGCU
ensembl:rRNA 5S_rRNA 5S ribosomal RNA